rnacentral:rRNA from 1 species
GAUGAACGCUGGCGGCGUGCCUAAUACAUGCAAGUCGAGCGAACAGAUGAGGAGCUUGCUCCUCUGACGUUAGCGGCGGACGGGUGAGUAACACGUGGAUAACCUACCUAUAAGACUGGGAUAACUUCGGGAAACCGGAGCUAAUACCGGAUAAUAUAUUGAACCGCAUGGUUCAAUAGUGAAAGACGGUUUUGCUGUCACUUAUAGAUGGAUCCGCGCCGCAUUAGCUAGUUGGUAAGGUAACGGCUUACCAAGACAACGAUGCGUAGCCGACCUGGGAGGGUGAUCGGCCACACUGGAACUGAGACACGGUCCAGACUCCUACGGGAGGCAGCAGUAGGGAAUCUUCCGCAAUGGGCGAAAGCCUGACGGAGCAACGCCGCGUGAGUGAUGAAGGUCUUCGGAUCGUAAAACUCUGUUAUUAGGGAAGAACAAAUGUGUAAGUAACUAUGCACGUCUUGACGGUACCUAAUCAGAAAGCCACGGCUAACUACGUG